rnacentral:lncRNA from 1 species
CGUCGACCACACCUGUACUGUUGUUUACAUGCCCGUAUUAUUUCAGGAUAUUCCUUUUUAUCUGAAAUCUAACAUCUUUAGAUGCUUGUGAUCCUCCUCCGUAAAACCGUACACGAAAGGAUAAACUAUACAAUUUCUUGUGAUAUAUCUCAAAUUUGGAUACCGUGAUGGAACUGUACGUAGGGUGUCUGUUAGCCGUUAUGAUCCUAGCCGCCAUUAUCAUACAGGGAAUCUAUUGUGGAUUGUUCUGUUUCUACCCAAUUGCACCUGGAGUCAGGCCUUUGAUUGUUUUAAGAAGAUCAGCCAAACCGUUUAAAAAUGAAAAAGAUACAUUCGAACUUGAGGUUCCUUUAGAAAAAGUUACAAGCAUGCCAGCAGAACAGGAGAAAGAAAAAGAGAGCCAGACAGAUGUCUGACGUCUGAUUGGAUAUAAAUCCUGUUACGUGACCAAGUAUUUCUUCUUGUAACCUUUUAUAUAAACAGAACUGUUAAAUGCAUUACAUAAAAAAAAAUAUAUAUAUAUACAUAAUUAACUUAAUAUUCCAAUAGAAGCAAUUAUUUAAUUAUUUUUAACGUUUUUACUUCUAUUGGAAUGUUAAUUUAAACGUAAUCGAGCUCUACUCGACAGCCGCCUUUAAGGGGAGAGAGAACGAGACAUCGAUUCUGCAGUAUGGAAACCAAUAGAUUUUUUCGACUUCUCAACCGUGCAAUAGAUUUUUUUUUUUUUCGGGGGAAGAAAAAGUUUUGUACUUUUUAUAAGACAAUAAAUAUUGCUGCUU